rnacentral:rRNA from 1 species
AGAGUUGAUCCUGGCUCAGGAUGAACGCUGGCGGCGUGCUUAACACAUGCAAGUCGAACGGAGUUUUAACGGAAGUUUCGGAUGGAAGUUUAGAAACUUAGUGGCGGACGGGUGAGUAACGCGUGGGUAACCUGCCUCAGUACAGGGGGAUAACAGUUAGAAAUGACUGCUAACACCGCAUAAUAUAGCGAAACCGCAUGAUUUUGCUAUCAAAUAUUUAUAGGUAUGAGAUGGGCCCGCGUCUGAUUAGCUAGUUGGUGGGGUAAAAGCCUACCAAGGCGACGAUCAGUAGCCGGCUUGAGAGAGUGACCGGCCACAUUGGGACUGAGACACGGCCCAAACUCCUACGGGAGGCAGCAGUGGGGAAUAUUGGACAAUGGGGGAAACCCUGAUCCAGCGACGCCCGCGUGAGUGAAGAAGUAUUUCGGUAUGUAAAGCUCUAUCAGCAGGGAAGAUAAUGACAGUACCUGACUAAGAAGCCCCGGCUAACUACGUGCCAGCAGCUGC